rnacentral:rRNA from 1 species
AUGGCAGCGGCAGAAGAGAACGGCAAUGGAUUAGAGUUCUUAACAGAUCCUGUCGACAGAUUCCCCUGGCCGGAUCUUGAAGCCAACGACUUAACUGCGGGCGGUGAGGCAGGCACAUGUCUCACACAGUCGGCUGCUGAAUCAAGCAUGGGAGAUGUUGGCGACGACCCCCUCUCAAUCCAGUUGGCCGAGAAUAACGGCUGCGAACCACUGAGCUUGUCGGCGGGCGAUUCGCAACAGUCAACAGGGAAAGAUGACCCUCAAGCCCCCGGCUGGACUAGAAGAUCCGUAUUGGGCGAGCCCCUAUUGAGCGCACACCAUGCGCUGGACAAUAUGUGCCCUCGAAAAACGUUAAGAGGAUACGUGGAGAAGAAGACAGAUACAAUAGUGGUACCAGCUGUUGGAUACAACUUUGAUUCGUUGGGAGAAGCAUACGACUUCUACAAUCUGUUUUCGUGGGAAAUUGGAUUUGGAAUAAGAUAUGGAAAAAGUAAGCUGAACGUCGAGAGAACCAAAUGUAUGCAAGAAAUAGUCUGUGGAUGCUCGGGCAAACCAAAAAAUGGAAACACACGGACAUGCCGAUGCGAGUGCCCUGCAUUGAUACGUUUGCUUCAAUCAAAUGACAAUGGCUGGUACAUAAGUGAGCAUAGGCCAUCCCACAACCAUGUGUUGACAGAUAAAUGUGGUGAAAAGGUGUACUGGCCUUCACAUAAACAUAUAGAUCUGUAUACAAGAGAUCUUGUCAAACAGCUUAGGGGGAACAAUAUAAGCAUUGGAAAAGUUUACAACAUAAUUGGUAGCUUCUUCGGCUCAAUGAAUAAUGUGCCUUUCACAAAAAAGGCUCUGAGGGGUCUAUGUGGUGAAAUCAGCUGA